rnacentral:tRNA from 2 species
GCGGAGGUUACCAAGCCAGGCCAAAGGUGCGGGACUUAGGAUCCCGUCUCGUAGGAGUCCGCGAGUUCAAAUCUCGCCCUCCGCACCA